AAGUGAUAGGGAAAAGCUCAGCUUUGAACCUGGCCCUUGGGUGUCGGGAUGGUGUUGUAUAGGAAGCCUACUUGUCGGCCCGUUCGGGUAUCCCCUCCUCCUGAUAUUGUCCACUCCCAAGCGGGGGUCGGGCCCAUAAGGCACCCGACCGCGUCUGCCUGUACCUUCCUCGUAUUCAGGUUGUUUGGGAAUGCAACCCACAGUGGGUGGUAAACUCCAUCUAAAGCUUGUUACUGCCACGAUUCCGAUAGCAUACUAGUACCGUGAGGGAAAGUUGAAAUGAACUUUGAAAGAGAGAGA
rnacentral:rRNA from 1 species